rnacentral:rRNA from 1 species
AUUGAACGCUGGCGGCAGGCCUAACACAUGCAAGUCGAGCGGAUGAAGGGAGCUUGCUCCUGGAUUCAGCGGCGGACGGGUGAGUAAUGCCUAGGAAUCUGCCUGGUAGUGGGGGAUAACGUCCGGAAACGGGCGCUAAUACCGCAUACGUCCUGAGGGAGAAAGUGGGGGAUCUUCGGACCUCACGCUAUCAGAUGAGCCUAGGUCGGAUUAGCUAGUUGGUGGGGUAAAGGCCUACCAAGGCGACGAUCCGUAACUGCUCUGAGAGGAUGAUCAGUCACACUGGAACUGAGACACGAUCCAGACUCCUACGGGAGGCAGCAGUGGGGAAUAUUGGACAAUGGGCGAAAGCCUGAUCCAGCCAUGCCGCGUGUGUGAAGAAGGUCUUCGGAUUGUAAAGCACUUUAAGUUGGGAGGAAGGGCAGUAAGUUAAUACCUUGCUGUUUUGACGUUACCAACAGAAUAAGCACCGGCUAACUUCGUG